AGUGAGAAGCAGCCACCGAGUGGCUGAGAGCAUUUGCUAUUGGACUGCAUACUGGGCAAAAGAGAAAUGGAAUGACAACAUCUACAUUUUUGUUUUAAGCAACUAGGUGGAAGGCAGUGCCAUUUGCUGAGAUGGAGAAGGUAGGAAGACGAUAGAAGAAGCAACUGUCAGAUCUGAACAUCAGAGGGUAACCAAGAGGUAUCUAAUUGGACAUGGGAACCACUCAAUGGGAGAAUACUCAUGCCUGGUCCUAGCAAACAGACUGGAUGCAAUUUUUCAGACUGGAUUACCACCUUACCCAAUUGACAAGGCCAACUUUUAAAGAGAGAACUCUCACAGAUCUAUUCCUUCAGUGCAAAAGAAGAUUGACCCGCCAGGCACUGGGAAAGAACACCAUGGAUAUAGAAUGAGGACGAUAUAAUUUUAAAAGAAAUUCAUGGCUUAUGAAGAAAGCACACAUGUGCAACCUCUUACAACCCUUGAAGUUUUUUUUGUUUUGUUUUGUUUUGUUUUGUUUUUCU